GGCCAUCGGGCGAAACGCGGCUGGUUGAGCCUGUGCGUCACUCAAGCGCCCGGAGCCUAUGAUUUGCAGAAAGAAGGAAAGAGGGUGGGAGCGUGCUCUCCAGGCUUCUGGGGGAUGGAGUGGGAGGGGGAGAGGAGAGGAGGAGGAGGAGUGCAGGCCUUGAGUCUAUUUGGUUGCUCUUAUGCAGCGUUGCGUUGGCCGCGUAACUUGCGUUUUGUUCCUAGCCUUUGGCCCGGCUAAGAGGCUACCCGGCUUCCUCCUCGUGAUUUCAUUGCGGUUUAGGGGCUCGGGAUGUUUCGGGUUCAGAUAUUUCUGCUCCCUACUUGCCAACGAAGUGAGGAGGUAUAUAAAAAAAUUGCACGAAGUAAAAGCUUAAAAAAACUACAAAAACUCGGGCGUAAAAGCCAGUUCGUGGAGAGAAAUUAGAAGAGCUUUGGAGGAAAACCCAGACAGCCGCAAAGAAAAGUGGAAGCCGCUGCCAGACGAGUUUGUCAAGCUUAAAAAACAAAAAUGAAAUCAAAGAGCAGGGACCCUGGGUUCAGAAGGACAGACCAUUCCUGCCCAGUAUGUAAUCCUGUCCUGGCUGGAAGGAUUUAUAAAACAUCGAGGAACCCAAACCAAUUUCAACAGUGCUGCACUUGAGCCUGAGGAUGUCAUUCCAGGUCCUGUAGAGCAAAACUCUUUGGAGUCAACAUUGAAAACAGAGGUCGUCUCAUCCAUACAACGCCUCCUGUCCAGGGACUCAAGUGUUAUCUUACCGCACAGCAAUAAGAAGGAUCAACCAGUGAUGAUGAAGGAUCAACCAGUGCAUCCAACAGUGUCAUCCAUAAAGCCACAAUCCCUCCGUCAAGAAAGAGGAAGAAGAAGAAGAUGGGAGGGGACGAGAUAUUGAACAACAUUGCGACUCUAUGUUGGGAGCAGCUUCAAAUCUAUACUACAGGGACGUCUCAGUUGAGCCUCCUCAACAGCAGGACAUAUAUAGCCCUUUGUGACUUUCCUAGCCAGCUUCUGACAAAGACAAGGGAGGAAGCCACUGAAAUACUGCAUGAUGCACUUAAUAACUGCAGUGAUUUACUUAACAACCAUGGCAGAAAAGAACAUAAAACCUGGGGAAACUCACUCAAGAACCAUCUUUGUUAGCAAUUGUGGGGUCUAGGAAGAGAGCCUGUAGUAUAUUCUACUCCCAGAGGUGAGACAGGCUCCCACUCUCCUGGCCUACUGAAAAGGAAUUAAAACAUGGCUCUGUAGCCUUACUUGUGGAACGCAGAGGAAUACACAACCUUGGGGAUGGCUAAUGUCCUGAGAGGCCUCCCUUCAUCUUUUAACUAAUUUUAACAGCAUUUAUUUAUCCUUGCCUCCUUGUAGAAUUUUAAUUUUAAAACCUUAACUUUUAUAUACUGUUCUUAUAUUUUAAUGUUUUAUUGUACAACCUGUCAGAGUCUCUGUUUGAUGGAGAUGGGCAAUUCAAAAAUGUGAAAAAUAAAGAAGUUCCAUCUGCAUGCCUCCUGAAACUAGCUCAUCUGUGCUACUUCCAUUCUUGAGUCAGAAGCCAGUGACAUACUGUAAAGAUUGCAGAGUUAAGACUCAUAGAUUGCAGUGAAAUAAAAGAAAACAGGACUCU